AACUUCUGGAAUCAAGAUUCUAGGCUAUCACUGAAGAUUAUCUUCUUAGCUGAACUAUACCUCCGAUAUAAUUUUCUUUCCCACCUAAGCCACCUACCCCACUAAGUGCAGACUGUUGAAUGUGAUGCUGUUUCCUGACUAUAAAAUGGAGUGACUGAAGGUUAAUACAAGGAUCAAUUUGAGCUGCAGCUGAAUGUACAGUAGCGCCUACUACAUGGCAGCUGGUUCAUAAUCUCAAUACUGAAUGGUACCCUGGGUUGCAUCAAUCAAGUCAUUGUAACAACUUGGCA